rnacentral:rRNA from 1 species
GGUUCAUUCAAAUUUCUGCCCUAUCAACUUUCGACGGCUGGGUCUUGGCCAGCCGUGUGACAACGGGUAACGGAGAGUUAGGGCUCGACUCCGGAGAAGGAGCCUGAGAAACGGCUACUACAUCCAAGGAAGGCAGCAGGCGCGCAAAUUACCCAAUGACGACCGUCGAGGUAGUGACAAUAAAUACUGAUACAGGGCUCUUUUGGGUCUUGUAAUUGGAAUGAGUACAAUUUAAAUCCCUUAACGAGGAACAAUUGGAGGGCAAGUCUGGUGCCAGCAGCCGCGGUAAUUCCAGCUCCAAUAGCGUAUAUUAAAGUUGUUGCGGUUAAAAAGCUCGUAGUUG